rnacentral:misc_RNA from 1 species
UCUCCGUUGGUGAACCAGCGGAGGGAUCAUUACCGAGUUUACAAACUCCCAAACCCUUUGUGAACCUUACCUAUCGUUGCUUCGGCGGGACCGCCCCGGCGCCUUCGGGCAACGGAACCAGGCGCCCGCCGGGGGACCGAAACCUCUGUAUUUACCGUUUGAGUACUCUGAGUGUGAUUUACAAAAUCAAAAUUAAAACUUUCAACAACGGAUCUCUUGGCUCUAGCAUCGAUGAAGAACGCAGC